AGAGUUAAUAAUUUUAAAGUGCUUAGAACAAUGCCUGGCACACUAUGUAUUUACGCAAAUGUCUGUAUCCUUCAUUUGCUAAGUGGAAAAAAAAAAAUCAUCCCAGAUAGGGAAAUAUUCAGAGACUGUACCAGCCAUCUACACCAUCUUAGUGAAUGCUCAAGAAAACACUCAAGGAAUUCCCAUCGUGGCUCAGCAGUAACGAACCCGACUAGUAUCCAUGAGGAUUUGGGUUCCAUGCCUGACCUCGCUCAGUGGGUUAAGGAUCUGGCAUUACCAUGAGCUGUGGUGUAGGUCACAGAUGCGGCUUGGAUCCUGCGUUGCUGUGACUGUGGCUUAUGCCCACAGCUGCAGCUCUGGUUCAACCCCUGGCCUGCCUGGGAACUUCCANACACACACACACACACACACACAAAAAUGCAAUACUAAUCUUUUUGGGGGGUGGGAUGGGAAGAUAAUUCUUUUUCUCUCUCUUUCUUUCUCAAUCUUUUUUUUGUUGUUUGUUUACCUAGAAGCUUGUAUGAUUUUAUCCUUGAAACAAUAAUUUUUUGAAGCUCAUCUAGGUGUGUGUAUUUUCUCAAACAGCCUUAACUGGGGCCCCUAACCCUUUCAGUCUAUAAGCUUACAUCUUCAUUUAUUAAUUUAUUUAAUUAUUGCCUUUCCUUCUUCUGUAUCUUGUUAAUUUCUCCUGGCACUCUGGGAUUUUUUAUGAGAGAUGCCUUUGGAUGUGUCCAGGUCAGUUGUCACAUCUUCUCUCAAGUCCUAUUCUUUUGCCUACUUCCUCAACGUUUUGAGAUAGGUCUCUGACUUGGCCUUUAAUUAAUUGAGGUCCAAGUAGUGACCUUUCUCUGCUUUGAUUUAUCUACUUAAUUAAGAAAAAAUUAAACCUAUGGUUUGUGAUUUGUAAUCAUAUUUCCUUAAGCACUUCCAUUUUGUAUGUUUAAGGUUUUCACUUCGCCCUCUGGUAGGUCGCUCUGUUUCAGGAGGUAAUCUCUGUUCUGGGUGUUCUGCUUCUUCCUUACUCUGGCUGCUGUAUUAGGGACCUUGUUACUUUCCUUUGCCUCCACAGGGCUCCGCCCUUGCUCAGGGCUCAAGUCUUGCUGCUGGGGUACCUCCAGUGCAGCUCCACUAGUUCCAAGAGGCACUAUGUUUUCUGUCUUGCAGUCUGCUGGCACUCAAUCUAGAAGGUUGUUUAUGCCCUACUGAGAACUCUCUGCUCUCUUGACUCCUCAGAUUCAGGGACAGGAAGGAUUCAGUCAGUUGGUUCCCCACUUAUGCCAGACACGUGAAAAGGAAUGAGAUCUGGUAUGAUCAAGUAUCAUGUCUUUUCAAUACUCACCCCCGGGCUCUUGCUCGUUCUCCAAGACCCCAAGGUUUCAUCGGGCCUAAAGGGAAAAGUCCUGAGUUCACUCUCUUCAGAAUCUAAGCAGACUUGAGGCUUAUCUGAUACACUCUACUGGCCUACUUGGGAAAGGUAGUUAGUAUUUGGGCUAGAGUUGAGAGAAUGGGCAGGAGGAAUGCAUUCUUACUGACAUCUUGCCAGAGACCUCCCAUUCUUGAGCUUUUAAUUUUGGGUCAUUUCUUAGACAUCUUUAUGUAACUUUUUCAGGAAGGAUUCAUGGAUGGGAUAUUUUCUCAGCCUUUGCAUAUCUGAAAUGAUCUUUUUGUUUCUUUUUACAUAUUAAAAGAACUCAAGGAGUUCCCGUCAUGGCUCAGUGGAAACGAAUCUGACUAACAUCCAUGAGGAUGCAGGUUCGAUUCCCUGGCCUUGAUCAGUGGGUUAAAAGGAUCCAGCAUUGCCGUGAACUGUUGUGUAGGUCACAGUCAUGGCUUGGGUCCUGCUUUGCUGUGGCUGUGGUGUAGGCUGGCAGCUACAGCUCCAAUUCAACCCCUAGCCUGGGAACCCCCAUAUGCAAUGGGUGAGGCCCUUAAAAAAAAAAAGGAAAAAAAAAAAAACUUGAAUAGAUACAAAUGGUUCCCACGCUGGGGUUGCAGUUUUCUCUUUGAAAACAUUAUAGAUAUUACUUAAUUAUUCUUGGUAUUUAAAAUUGCAGUCAGACACACCUUUAAUGAUUAUAGAGCCCAAGACAAAGUUCAAAAGCCGAUCCACAUAAAAUAUGUCUACAUAUUUUAAAUGUCUGAAUCACAACAAACUUAAAAUAUAUUCCAUCCCCUCACUUUGACAAAUAAAUUUUUAUUACAAUAAAAUUGAAAGAGAUGUGUAGUGCUAUGGUUUUUAUAUGACAAAGUGCAAAAUAACAAAUAUGACUGAAUUUAAUUAUUGCACACAUCUGGGUGUUUAGCAGGAAUGAUUGGGUGAGUAAUAAAGGCCUAUGCCUUUGAAUAAUUCUUCUGUUUCUUUUAUCCAGCUUUCUCCUUCAGGAACACUCCUUCUGAAGAAAAUUUUCUAUUUGUUUUGCUUUCACUCUAACAAAAUCAUUAAUUCCAAUUUUUUUUUUUUUUUUUUUUUUUUGGUUUAACUGGGAGCAAGUUCCUGGGACACAGCAGCGGCCCAAACCGCCCCAGUGAUCAAUGCUGGAUCCUUAACCUUCUGUACCGUGAGAGAAUUCCAAUUGCAUUUUUAUACUAAGAAUUUUCUCACAAUGUCUGUUGGCAGUAAUAUAAAGCAUAAAAAAUGUAUUCCAAGCUUAUAAUCUUUAAAUAUAUUUUAUUAAAAAUGAAAAUUAAAUAUUAAAAUUAUUUUUAUGUUUAAAAAGUUAUCUUAAAAUAUUCAAAAUUAUUUAUUACGUUUUGGGAGCACUGGGACACAGUUUCAGUCCCUGGCCUAGCACAGUUGGUUAAGGAUAUGGAGUUGCUGCAGCUGCCGCAGCUGCAGCUUAGGUCACAACUACAGCUUGGAUCUGAUCUCUGGCCCAAGAACUCCAUGUGCUGCAGGGUGGCCAAAAAAAGAAAAAAAAAAA
rnacentral:lncRNA from 1 species